GGUGGAGCGAUUUGUCUGGUUAAUUCCGAUAACGAACGAGACUCUAGCCUAUUAAAUAGGAGCCGUAUCUCAUUUAAAGUACGGCGCCCUUCUUAGAGGGACAAGCAGCAAUUAGCUGCGCGAGAUUGAGCAAUAACAGGUCUGUGAUGCCCUUAGAUGUCCGGGGCUGCACGCGCGCUACAAUGAAGGUAGCAGAAUGUAUCGAACCCAUGUCUGAAAAGACUUGGUAAUCACGAAUUAUUUUCGUGCUUGGGAUAGGGGAUUGCAAUUAUUUCCCUUGAACGAGGAAUAUCUAGUAAAUGCGAGUCAUAAGCUCGCGUUGAAUACGUCCCUGCCCUUUGUAC
rnacentral:rRNA from 1 species